rnacentral:lncRNA from 1 species
AAUAUGGCAACUCGGUUGCAUCAUGGAAAGUUCAUUAAAAAAUCUUCCAACAUCUCAAUAUUCUCCUUUUUUCAACACCUCCAAUCUCCGCACCAUGUUCGUUCUGUGACUCUCCAUAUUUUCCAAAUUUCAAACCGCUACGCCCCAGCAAGAAAACGGAUGCGCUAACGCCCUUAUUAGAAUAGGCUUGAGCGCUAGCGCGCCCCUAUCUCGUCAGCCGUUGCUUGUUCGGUCGAGCACUUCGUUCCUUACUUUCCAGUCUUUUUCUGAAGUUCCUUCUAGAUUACUGUCAUCAAUCUCCACACCAUGUUCGUUCUGUGACUCUCCAUAUUUUCCAAAUUUCAAACUGCUACGCUCCAGCAAGAAAACGGAUGCGCUAACGCCCUUAUUAGAAUAGGCUUGAGCGCUAGCGCGCCCCUAUCUCGUCAGCCGUUGCUUGUUCGGUCGAGCACUUCGUUCCUUACUUUCCAGUCUUUUUCUGAAGUUCCUUCUAGAUUACUGUCAAAUAGGUUCUUCUGCCGCUUCAUUGGUUGAUCGGCAUACGAGGGUGUCAGCACUAAGAAAGCAAAUUGGACAAUAAUGAUCAAUACUAAGUUAGAAGAAAACUAAGCAUCAGGCCCUAAGCCAAAAAAAUGGGAUAGUACCGUCAGUGUCAUCACUGAAUCGGGUACAUCUGGGUUGGUGGAAACUAGGUCCGCGUGUCAAAGAAGAUCUCCGUUAUUGAGUCCCUUCUAAGCAGGCUCAGGAUAUGGGCAGCGCAUAUGACAGACGAUCAGGGAAUUUUCUUCUUAAUAGAGUACCAGACUUCUCACACGGCUAUAUGACCAAAGAUCAGGUCUCCGACCAAACUUCCCUUAGCUACU